rnacentral:rRNA from 1 species
UGGCGACCGGCGCACGGGUGCGUAACGCGUAUGCAACCUACCCAUAACAGGGGGAUAACACUGAGAAAUUGGUACUAAUACCCCAUAACAUCAGGACCGGCAUCGGUUCUGGUUGAAAACUCCGGUGGUUAUGGAUGGGCAUGCGUUGUAUUAGCUGGUUGGUGAGGUAACGGCUCACCAAGGCAACGAUACAUAGGGGGACUGAGAGGUUAACCCCCCCACAUUGGUACUGAGACACGGACCAA